UACAGAGGGUGCAAGCGUUAAUCGGAAUUACUGGGCGUAAAGCGUGCGUAGACGGUUAUGUAAGUCGGGUGUGAAAGCCCCGGGCUCAACCUGGGAAUGCCAUUCGAGACUGCAUAGCUAGGGUGCGGAAGAGGGAAGCGGAAUUUCCGGUGUAGCGGUGAAAUGCGUAGAUAUCGGAAGGAACACCAGUGGCGAAAGCGGCUUCCUGGUCCAGCACCGACGUUCAGGCACGAAGCGUGG
rnacentral:rRNA from 1 species